CACACACGUCGGGCGCCCAGUUGGUGUCGCCCCCAAAACGCGCAAGCGAGCCUUUGAGAGCACGAACUUCUCCAACGAGGUUCAUCGCAGAUCCCUUCAGCGGAAUUCCGGUUCGGCGCGGACACUUCAAAGAUGGCGAACAACGGUGAGUAAAUAUGCGAGUGGAAGCAGAGGACUAGUGGCAGCUGUAUUCGGAGAAGGCGGAUCAAAGUCCACGGGGCGCAUUGGCAGGACCGCAGCUACCGUCAAGUUGGUGACGUGAACAGAU